ensembl:lncRNA
AUAUAUAAAUAUAUUUAAUAUAUAAACAUAACAUAUUCUUCUUAAAUAUAUACAUGCAUGUGUGUGUAUUUAUAUAUACAUAAUAAAUAUACACAGUAUACACACAUAUAUUAUGUAAACAAAACUUUUAUUUUGGAUGUGAUUAAUCGUGAUUAAUCAUUUGACAGCACUAAUAGUUAUAUAUAUAUAUAUAAAAUAAUAUGUAUAUACGCAUGUCCGAAGAUGUUAUUACCAUUAAAACUUUCAAAUAAUCAGAAUAAAAAAGACUACAACAAAAUAAAAUAGAAUAAUGAAACAAAAAAAAAAAAUAACGUUAAUAAAAUACAACAACUGAUAAAAUAACAUAAAAUAAAAACAAAUAAAAUAAACCUUUCUGCGGUGGUGAUGUUAUUAAACUACACUUCCCAUGAUUCUGCGCGCAUCACGGAUGUUUUGCGUUUACCGGAUACACGUUUCUGCUCUCGAGUUCUGAUUCACCUGGUGACAUUAAAACCAUCAACCGGCUCUCGGUGAGACCACAGGCACGCCACCACAGUGAGAGCACGCCACCUUCUCUGUUAACGGAACCCGUUGUUGUUACGGUUGCGAUGUUCCUGUCGUCGGUACCGGCGCGCGUCCUGAUGCGAAGGUCGCGCAGUCUGUCGCCGCGCCGCGCGCUGCAGACCGGCCACGGCGAGGCCUCGCGCUUCCGAAACCUCUGCGAGCUCGAACCGAACCGGAGCCCAGUGGCCAGCGGAUCGCGCGCGGCCAGGAAGAGCGUCGCGAGCGAGGAGUCGCGCGUGCAGUACCAUCAGCUGGCCAGCAGAUGGCGCGUGAGUCUGGAGACCCGGCGGAGCAGCUGGGCGAGUGUGACCGCCGCGGGGCGCUGCAGAGGCGGACACCAGAGCCGCUCAGAGUCCGCUGCUGCUGCUGGAGCCGCGGGCGUCGCGGGCGUCAUCUCCGCCGCGGCGCUCGCCUUCUGUUUGAAGAAAGACAGCGAUGAUAAAGCUGAAGCUCUUCUGGAUGCGGCCAGAUCCAGUAACACCGAGGAAGUUAUCAGGUUGUUGGCGCAGGGAGUCGAUCCGAACACUCGACACCGUUUGGGCUGGACACCUCUCAUGGUGGCUGCGAUGAAUAGACAGCACAAAAUGCCGUGGCAGAGCUUGUGUGUCAGAGGCCCACAGAACCUUUAACUUAAUUGAAUUAAAGCUCACUUAACAAACACACACAGACGGAGGAGAGACAGAAGGAGAAAGAGGGAGGAGGUCACCAAAUCCAAUUUCUGGAGUCAGUGUCACCCCUCGUUUGAAACGGGACUCAUUUCACUGUGUCAGCACACACACACACACGAACGGAGAGGAGAGUACUGGUUACUCACACUUUAACUAGACACUAGCUGUGUAGAGAAGAGAAGAACCAAGUCAGAACUAAAACUAAAUAUGAAGUUCAUGUCGUCCCAAAUCUGUAUGAUUUAUUUCUUCACAAAAUGUCAAAAAGCAUCUAAUGUUGUCUGGCCCUUAAUGUUUUUCAAAAUAUCCAAAUAAAGAAACUCAUACAUGAGAGGAAUGAUAUGAG